GAUGAAGAACGCAGCGAAAUGCGAUAAGUAGUGUGAAUUGCAGAAUUCCGUGAAUCAUCGAAUCUUUGAACGCACAUUGCGCCUCCUGGUAGUCCGGGAGGCAUGCCUGUCCGAGCGUCACCAAAUCCAACUCAAGCGGUUUUGCGCUUGGUCGUGGCGGAAGAGUCGGUCUGGUUGCCGUCUCCCCUCCGAAAAUCAACGGCGGAAAGUCACUGGCAGUCAGCGUAGUAGUAUCGUUCGCCGAACAUCCAGUGGCAUUCCUGCCGACGUACCCCCACAAUUCUCGUGAUUGACCUCGGAUCAGGUAGGGAUACCCGCUGAACUUAAGCAUAUCAAUAAGCGGAGGA
rnacentral:misc_RNA from 1 species